rnacentral:rRNA from 1 species
UACGGAGGGUGCAAGCGUUAUCCGGAAUCAUUGGGUUUAAAGGGUCCGUAGGCGGGCAAUUAAGUCAGAGGUGAAAUCCCACAGCUCAACUGUGGAACUGCCUUUGAUACUGGUUGUCUUGAGUUAUAUUGAAGUGAGUAGAAUAUGUAGUGUAGCGGUGAAAUGCUUAGAUAUUACAUAGAAUACCGAUUGCGAAGGCAGCUCACUAAGUAUAUACUGACGCUGAUGGACGAAAGCGUGGGGAGCGAACAGG